GACGAACGCUGGCGACGUGCUUAACACAUGCAAGUCGAACGGAAAGGCCCUGCUUUUGUGGGGUGCUCGAGUGGCGAACGGGUGAGUAACACGUGAGUAACCUGCCCUUGACUUUGGGAUAACUUCAGGAAACUGGGGCUAAUACCGGAUAGGAGCUCCUGCUGCAUGGUGGGGGUUGGAAAGUUUCGGCGGUUGGGGAUGGACUCGCGGCUUACCAGCUUGUUGGUGGUGUAGUGGCUUACCAAGGCUUUGACGGGUAGCCGGCCUGAGAGGGUGACCGGCCACAUUGGGACUGAGAUACGGCCCAGACUCCUACGGGAGGCAGCAGUGGGGAAUAUUGCACAAUGGGCGGAAGCCUGAUGCAGCAACGCCGCGUGCGGGAUGACGGCCUUCGGGUUGUAAACCGCUUUCGCCUGUGACGAAGCGUGAGUGACGGUAAUGGGUAAAGAAGCACCGGCUAACUACGUG
rnacentral:rRNA from 1 species